AUUGAACGCUGGCGGCAUGCCUUACACAUGCAAGUCGAACGGUAACAGGUCUUCGGAUGCUGACGAGUGGCGAACGGGUGAGUAAUACAUCGGAACGUGCCCGAUCGUGGGGGAUAACGAGGCGAAAGCUUUGCUAAUACCGCAUAAGAUCUAUGGAUGAAAGCAGGGGACCGCAAGGCCUUGCGCGAACGGAGCGGCCGAUGGCAGAUUAGGUAGUUGGUGGGGUAAAGGCUUACCAGGCCUACGAUCUGUAGCUGGUCUGAGAGGACGACCAGCCACACUGGGACUGAGACACGGCCCAGACUCCUACGGGAGGCAGCAGUGGGGAAUUUUGGACAAUGGGCGCAAGCCUGAUUCAGCCAUGCCGCGUGCAGGAUGAAGGCCUUCGGGUUGUAAACUGCUUUUGUACGGAACGAAAAGGUUCGGGUUAAUACCCUGGGCCCAUGACGGUACCGUAAGAAUAAGCACCGGCUAACUACGUGCCAGCCGCCGCCGUAACAC
rnacentral:rRNA from 1 species